CAGUAGCCGCGGGAAUACAGAGGGUGCAAGCGUUAAUCGGAAUUACUGGGCGUAAAGCGCGCGUAGGUGGUUUGUUAAGUUGGAUGUGAAAGCCCCGGGCUCAACCUGGGAACUGCAUCCAAAACUGGCAAGCUAGAGUACGGUAGAGGGUGGUGGAAUUUCCUGUGUAGCGGUGAAAUGCGUAGAUAUAGGAAGGAACACCAGUGGCGAAGGCGACCAACUGGACUGAUACUGACACUGAGGUGCGAAAGCGUGGGGAGCAAACAGGAUUAGAUACCCGUGUAGUCCCUGUCUCUUAUAA
rnacentral:rRNA from 1 species